AUUGAACGCUGGCGGCAGGCCUAACACAUGCACGUCGAGCGGAUCGGCGGACGGGUGAGUAAUGCCUAGGACUCUGCCUGGUAGUGGGGGAUAACGUCCGGAACCGGGCGCUAAUACCGCAUACUAUCAGAUGAGACUAGGUGCGAUUAGCUAGUUGGUGGUGUAAAGGCCUACCAAGGCGACGCACCGUAACUGGUCUGAGAGGCGGAUCAGUCACACUGGAAUGGAGACACGGUCCAGACUCCUACGGGAGGCAGCAGUGGGGAAUAUUGGACAAUUGGCGCAAGCCUGAUCCAGCCAUGCCGCGUGUGUGAAGAAGGUCUUCGGAUUGUAAAGCACUUUAAGUUGGGAGGCGUUACCAACAGAAUAAGCACCGGCUAACUUCGUGCCAGCAGCCGCGGUAAUUC
rnacentral:rRNA from 1 species